UUGGUACUUCUUUAAGUGAGAU
rnacentral:piRNA from 1 species